GUACAUCCCACUAAUUAUUUUUAGAAUUGGUAGGAGAAGAAAGUAGUGCAGAAAAAAUUACAAGUUCCUUAAUUUGCAGACUUGCAUAAAAAAAAUUGGGCAGAUGUACUGAAUUGAGCCUCACACUUGUUGAUAAGGAGUAUCUUUCCUACCAAAAAAGCUUGGAAAAUAGGUCCCCGCAGACAGACGCAUUUUGCCGGAAAACGAAUCUGACAUGCCACCUCGAGAUUUUAACCAAGGAAAGACAAGUUGAUGUGCUUUGAUUUGAGGGGUCACUCACUUCUGAACGAAAAUUAGGGACAUAGCUAUGAGAAGAAACGUUAACAUUGUCGCCUAUGGGAAAACAAUUAGUGGACUGUACCCAUAUUAGGAAGCCCAUAAGUUAAUGGUGAUUGGUGCAGGAAAAACAUGAGGUCCAUGCAGAUGGUGUUUAAAACUAUUGGCCAGCAAAUGCACACCCAUUUGAAUACAUCUUGAAACAGCACCAGCAAAAUGUGACAGUCAGCAAAAUGUAGGUCCCCGCAGACAGACGCAUUUUGCCGGAAAACGAAUCUGACAUGCCACCUCGAGAUUUUAACCAAGGAAAGACAAGUUGAUGUGCUUUAAUUUGAGGGGUCACUCACUUCUGAACGAAAAUUAGAGACAUACGCUAUGAGAAGAAACGUUAACAUUGUCGCCUAUGGGAAAACAAUUAGUGGACU